GACAACGCUGGCGGCGUGCUUAACACAUGCAAGUCGAACGGUGACGAGGAGCUUGCUCCUCUGAUCAGUGGCGAACGGGUGAGUAACACGUGAGCAACCUGCCCCAGACUCUGGGAUAACAGUUGGAAACAGCUGCUAAUACCGGAUACGAGACGGAGAGGCAUCUCUACCGUCUGGAAAGUUUUUCGGUCUGGGAUGGACUCGCGGCCUAUCAGCUAGUUGGUGAGGUAAUGGCUCACCAAGGCGACGACGGGUAGCCGGCCUGAGAGGGCGACCGGCCACACUGGGACUGAGACACGGCCCAGACUCCUACGGGAGGCAGCAGUGGGGAAUAUUGCACAAUGGGCGAAAGCCUGAUGCAGCGACGCCGCGUGAGGGAUGACGGCCUUCGGGUUGUAAACCUCUUUCAGCAGGGAAGAAGCGAAAAGUGACGGUACCUGCAGAAGAAGCACCGGCUAACUACGUG
rnacentral:rRNA from 1 species